GUCGCCUGUGGAUACAGAAGCAUGUCAAUGUCAGCAUUUACAGGUUUGGUAACUCAUGAAAACGUCCGCAAAGUUUAUCUUCAGGGUGAGGAAAAUAGUUUUCAUCGAAUUUGAGUCAAGAGGUUUAGAGGGAUCAGGUACUUCAUCUCGUCUCCCACCAAGGUCAAUAAGUAAAUUACCAAGUUUACAAAAGAUUGUUUCUACUUGAAUAUGAACUCUUAAAAUCACCAUAAUGUUUUCUAAAAUAAAAUAAAAUCACCAUGUUAAUACCGACAAAUUAAGAUUUGGAAUGUUACAUUAGAAUUAUAUAGUAUAUCACUUGGUUCCUAAGAAUCCUCACAGUGAUCCAGAUGAUAACCAGGAUGAUCUCAAGUUAAGGGUUCCCCCCGCCCCAGAACAACAGUUGAUUUACUGAGAAAAUUUACUGUUUCAUAAACUCUUUGAGAAAUGCUGUUGCAUAUUUUACUCUCCUCUUGAAAGUUAAUAAAGGUUCUGAGGUCUAAAGUAAAGACACCUAUUUAAUUUUGUUGCAUCCGUAUUUCCCAAUAUGAAUCUGUAAUGCAGCCUUUGGCACCCAGUAAAAUUAGCAUUCUGUGAAAUGCAUUUUGGGAACUGCUAGAAUGGUCAAACCCAUGGUAUAGUUAGAUGCUUUUUCAAUUUAAGAAGUAUUAGACAAAACUUAAAAGAUUCCUGAAUUGAGUUUGCCAUUCAUUAUAAAAAAAAUCUAAAUGGAAGACAAUGGUUGUUUUUAAUUAAAAAAAAUUCGACUUAUUGAAAUUAAAAAAAAAAACCAAAAAACUAGUUUACCCAUUUCUCCCCCUCCCCCACUCCUGCCUCUGGCAAUCACCAAUCAGUUCUCUGUAUCUACCAGCUUGAAUUUUUUUUUACUUCAUUUAUUUACUUCAUUUUACUUUCAUUUAUGAAAAAACAAAGAUCACAUGAUAUUUGUCUUCCUUUGACUUAUUUCACUUAACAUAAUGCCAUGGAGGUCCAUCCAUGUUAUCACAAAUGGCAAGAUUUCAUGCUUUAUAGCUGAGUAAUACUCCUUUAUAUAUAUAUACCACAUCUUCUCUAUCCAUUCAUCCAUCAAUUGACACUUAGGUUUUUCCAUAUUGUAAACAAUACUGCAAUGAAGUAUUCAAGUUACUCUUUGCAUUUUCUUUGGAUAAAUGCCCAGAAGUGAAAUUGCUGGAUCAUAGGGUAGUUCUACCUUUAAAUUUUUGAAGAACCUCCAACUAUUUUCCAUAGUGGCUGCACCAGUUUACAUUCCCACCAUAAGAGCAGAAGGGUUCCCUUUUCUCCACAUCCUUGCCAACAUUUGUUAUUUCCUGUCUUUUUUAUAAUAGCCAUUCUAACAGGUCUAAGGUGAUAUUUCAUUGUGGGUUUGAUUCACAUUUCCUUGAUGAUUAUUGACGUUGAGCAUCUUUUCAUGUACCUGUUGGUCAUCCGUAUGUCUUCUUCAGAAUGAUGUCUAUUCAGAUUUUCUGCCCUUUUUUAAAAUUUUAUUUUAUUUUAUUUUUUGCUUUUGAGUUGUAUGAGUUCUUUAUAUAUUUUGGACAUUAGUUCCUUAUCAGAUAAUAUUACUUGCAAAUAUUUUCUCCCACUCAAUAGAUAGUCUUUUGAUUUUGAUGGUUUCCUUUGCUGUGCAGAAGUCUUAGUUUGAUGUAGUCCCACUUAUUUUUGCCUUUGUUGCUUUUGCUUUUUGUGUCAGAUACAAAAAAUCAUUGCCAAGACCUAUGUCAAGGAACUUACUGCCUGUGUUUUCGUCCAUUUUGAGUUAAUUUUUGUGUAUGGUGCAAGAUAGGGAUCCACGCAAAAGUUUCAUUCUUUUGCAUGUGGAUAUCCAGUUUUCCCAACACCAAAAGAGACUGUCCCUUCCCCACUAUAUAUUCUUGGCUGCUUUUGUGUACAUUACUUGACCAUAUAUGUGUGGGUUUAUUUCUGGGCUUUCUAUUCUGUUCCAUUGGACUAUGUGUCUGUUUUUAUGCCAGAACCAUACUGUUUUAAUUAUUACAGUUUUGUAAUAUACAGUAGUCCCCCCCUCCCCCACAGUUUCACUUUCUGCAGUUUAAGUUACCCACACAUGACCAUCGCCUGGAAGCAGAUGAUCCUUCUUCUAUCAUCAGAAGUGUUGACAGCAGUGCAAGGAUUGGACAAUGACGGACUUAACACUUGCCAUGUCAACAUCAUUGGAUUGCAGCACUCAUCAAAUCAGAUUUUAAGUAAUCUCUACACCCAACAUGGGACUCAAUCUCACAAUGCCAAGAUCAAGAGUCACAGGCUCCACUGACUGAGCCAGCCGGGCUCCCUUCCUUUUUUCUUUUGAUUAUACAUUGUAUGCUUAAUUUAAAGGUAUACUUCUUAAGGACAAUGCUAGGUACAAAGUAGAUGCUAAAUAAAUUCCUGUUGAAUUGAACUAAAUAAGCAUAACUAACAGAUGCUGAAAUUAUAAACUAUUUUUUAGGUUACUGGAUUAUAAACUAUUAGUAAUAUCUAGCAACUCAUGGGGUCUAAAGAUUUUUAAGUAAAUUGUCUCAAUCAACAUACUUUGAAGUGACAAAUGUCUUGACCUUACAAAGAAAUACUUUCUCAAAAAAGAAAAAUGCAGCAAUUGAACUCACUUUGUCUUAUUAUGAAAAGUCUACCUUCUGCCAUGAAAUAAAAGAAUUGUACUAUACCUUUUCCUUCCCAGGCAUCAAAGGCAUCCAUCAUUUUCUUCAAUUCAGCUACUGAAUAAUAGCUCCAAAUGUACUGAACAUUAUUCCCCGCCUCUCUAGAAAUAUUGCAAAAGAUGAUGAAAACAUACUAAGUAUGAAUGUAUGUGUGUGUGUAUGUAUAUACAGCUAAUACUCGAUAUACUACCAAAUACUUGUUAAUUAAGGGAAAAAAUAUGUUGGCAUUGAAUAGUUGUUCUUCUGCAACUCUUAAGGACAUAUAUAGAUAAUAAUAUACUAUAGAUUAUAUCUAUGACCUAUAUUCAAUCUCUUUUUAAUGUGGUAAAGUACUUGUUAAUUCCACAAUAUAGACGGUACAGACAAAUCAACAAAUCUUUAGAAAUAGGUUUUCUAAAAAAAAUUACCUAACUCCAGGAAAAUUUUAAAAGAUUCAACUUUGACUAAAACUUUCAUAGCAUUGUUCCAGGCACUCAUAUAUCUUAUAUAAACAUCCUGUAAAGAAUUCAGAAAAUGAUGACAUAUUUAGUCACCUAAAAAAACAAGUUCAUGUGAUCAUUUAUUAGUCACUAAUAUGUGACCCAAUCCAACCACCCAGAGAAUUAGAAAAAAACAAAA